ensembl:ncRNA lncRNA:CR45331 long non-coding RNA:CR45331
AGUGUAGUAACUAUACUCAGACUCUCUUGAUUUAUGUACAUAUGUAGCUUUCAAACAUACAGUUACUACAGGUUCAGCAUUUAUCCGAUUACCUAACCACCCAAAAAUACCUUUAUUUCUCACUUCGAAUUCUUUAAAGGCAAGUAGAAAAAAGGGAGCCUUGAAGAUGCCAAAGAGGCAGAGGAAAAAAUGUCAUAAAUAUGAACGUUUGCAAUUUGUUUAUAUUAAAAUUGAGAGUCAAAAAGCAUCCUAAGGUGCUGGGUUGGACGGUGUUCUUGUAUCCUGCGCCCAGAUUCCCAUUGCAUUUGCCUCUGCCAACUGCUCCACAUCCCUGCUCCUCCUCCUCGCUGCGCUUCAGUAUCGCCUGCUGUUUUGUGAAUUAUGCGCCUUCCGUUGCAUGCGGCGGCAUUUCCCAGCCCGAACCCAAGCGCAGGGCAGUACAGUGAAAAAAAAAACGGAGCACAUACUGGCAAGAUUGGGAUAUAAAAAUGAGAAUAUGACGCAGGUAUCACUCUUAUUAUUAAACUGAAAUAU